rnacentral:rRNA from 1 species
UACGUAGGGGGCUAGCGUUGUCCGGAAUCAUUGGGCGUAAAGAGCGUGUAGGCGGCUUGUUAAGUCUUGCGUGAAAUCUCGGGGCUCAACCCCGAGCGGUCGUGAGAAACUGGCAGGCUAGAGUACGAAAGAGGAUCGCGGAAUUCCCGGUGUAGAGGUGAAAUUCGUAGAUAUCGGGAGGAACACCGGUGGCGAAGGCGGCGAUCUGGGUCGAUACUGACGCUGAGGUGCGAAAGCGUGGGGAGCAAACAGG